CAGUCGAGCGAGUCUGCCUUGAAGAUCGGAGUGCUUGCACUCUGUGAAACAAGAUACAGGCUAGCGGCGGACGGGUGAGUAACACGUGGGUAACCUGCCCAAGAGAUCGGGAUAACACCUGGAAACAGAUGCUAAUACCGGAUAACAACAGAUGAUGCCUAUCAACUGUUUAAAAGAUGGUUCUGCUAUCACUCUUGGAUGGACCUGCGGUGCAUUAGCUAGUUGGUAGGGUAACGGCCUACCAAGGCGAUGAUGCAUAGCCGAGUUGAGAGACUGAUCGGCCACAUUGGGACUGAGACACGGCCCAAACUCCUACGGGAGGCAGCAGUAGGGAAUCUUCCACAAUGGACGCAAGUCUGAUGGAGCAACGCCGCGUGAGUGAAGAAGGGUUUCGGCUCGUAAAGCUCUGUUGUUGGUGAAGAAGGACAGGGGUAGUAACUGACCUUUGUUUGACGGUAAUCAAUUAGAAAGUCACGGCUAACUACGUGCCAGCAGCCGCGGUAAUACGUAGGUGGCAAGCGUUGUCCGGAUUUAUUGGGCGUAAAGCGAGUGCAGGCGGCUCGAUAAGUCUGAUGUGAAAGCCUUCGGCUCAACCGGAGAAUUGCAUCAGAAACUGUCGAGCUUGAGUACAGAAGAGGAGAGUGGAACUCCAUGUGUAGCGGUGAAAUGCGUAGAUAUAUGGAAGAACACCGGUGGCGAAGGCGGCUCUCUGGUCUGUUACUGACGCUGAGGCUCGAAAGNNNGGGUAGCGAACAGGAUUAGAUACCCUGGUAGUCCAUGCC
rnacentral:rRNA from 1 species